CCAGCCAUUGCCAUUCACUGUGGGACAUCCUGGGAGGAGAGGUGAGUCAGAGAUGGAAAGAUGUUUUGUGUCCUUGGGAUGACAUGAGACCCCUGAGAGAAAGGACUGUGAACAUUUUUCUAAUUUUCAUUCUGACAAAGCCUUUCUUGGUGUCCAUGGUUUAAAGACCUUUCAUGAUGAAUUCUUGUGGCCACCAACCUAUUUGGCUGAGGCAUGGACAUUGAGCAGGUAAACACUGCCAUCAACUGCCACCUGCCUGAGGAAUCCCACACCUACCUGGAUCAGGUAAGCUGCACACCCACACAGGCAUCCCAGUGUCCCCUCCCACCCCCUGAUUUCCUAUGUCUUCAUACAUUACAUCCUCGUCCUUCCUUUUGGGUGUCUUCCUACUUUGGGGUCUUCCAGUGCUACCCUCUGUCUCCUUCCAGGAGGCCUGAGCAGGCCAGUUCACCCAAGGGCUUGGCCAUCACAUUUGUGUCAGAUGAAAAUGAUGCCAAGAUCCUCAGUGAGGUGCAGGGUCACAUUGAGGUCAGUCGUAGUGAGCUGCCUGAUGAGAUGGAUAUUUCCUCCUCCAGUGAGUAUUGAUCUCAUGAAACUGGUUCCUCCAACUCUUCAGAGUCUCCUCAUUCCUCAGUGACUUUGUCUUGAAACAAAGUGCAGGCAGUGGUGCCUGAUGCCUAAUGGGUGCCUGACAAGUUUAUGCCCUGAUCUUGAUUCCAUGUUGGGAUGUUUUGUUUAUUUCUAUGUGGGAUCUCUUUCCUCUCUCGUCCAAUUAAUUUUCUUUUUUGGAUCUCAGUCUUUCCCCUGACCCCACACCCCACAUGAACAUCUGCAUGUAUAGGGGUCUGUGUUUCUGCUGGUCUAACUUAGCCUUUCCAUGCCUUAUUGUAACUGUGCAUCUGUUCUCUGCAGUUGCAGCCAUGGGAGAGGACGCACCCAUUCGAAGAGCCUGAUGGAGGUCUCACACCCACGAACCAUGAGAUCAUGCAUGACCUGAGCUGAAAUCAAGAGUCGGAUGCCCACCCGACUGACCCACCCAGGCACUCCUAGAGUUUAUUCUUCCUAAUUAAUUUCUUUUUAAAGAUAUUUUAAAUUUGAAUAUUGUUGACACACAAGAUUACAUUAGUUUUGGGUGUACAACCCAGUGACUCAGCUUCUGUAUACAUUUUCUUUUUUUGAGAGAGAGGCAGCCAGAGCAGGGAAGAGAGGUAGAGGGAGAGAGAGAGAGACAGAGAGAGAGAGAGAGAGAGAGAGAGAGAGAGAAAGAGAGAGAAUCUCAAGCCGGUUCAGUCCCGUGGGGCUUGAUUCCAUGACCUGGGAUCAUGACUGGAGAAACUACAGAGCCACCCAGGGGCCCUUCACUUUCUGUCUACACCAUGCUGUGCUCACCAGAGUGUAGCUGCCACCUGUCACCAGACAGUGAUGUUACAGUAUCACUCAUGAUAUUCCCUGUGCUGUGCCUUUUAUUCCUAUGACCUGUUCCCUUCCAUAACUGGAGCCUGUAUCUCCCACUCCCCUCACCCACUGUGCCCAUCCUCCCAACCUCCUUCCCUCUGGCAGUCAUCAGUUUGUUCUCUGUAUUUAUAGGUCUGAUUCUGCUGUUUGUUUCUUUACUCAUUUGUUUUGUUUUUUUAGAUUACACAUAUGAGUGAAAUCAUAUGGUACUUGUCUAUCUCAGUCUGAUUCAUUUCACUUAGCAGACAUACUGCCCUGUUUGUCCAUCCAUGUCACAAGUGGCAGCACAUAUUUAUAUGUAUGUGUACAUACCACACAUCUUC
rnacentral:lncRNA from 1 species